rnacentral:rRNA from 1 species
UGCCAGCAGCCGCGGUAAUACGGAGGGGGGGAGCGUUGUUCGGAAUUACUGGGCGUAAAGCGCGCGUAGGCGGACUAGUCAGUCAGAGGUGAAAUCCCAGGGCUCAACCCUGGAACUGCCUUUGAUACUGAUAGUCUUGAGUUCGGGAGAGGUAAGUGGAAUUCCGAGUGUAGAGGUGAAAUUCGUAGAUAUUAGGAGGAACACCAGUGGCGAAGGCGACUUACUGGAUCGAUACUGACGCUGAGGUGCGAAAGUGUGGGGAGCAAACAGGAUUAGAUA